rnacentral:lncRNA from 10 species
GCCUCUGCCUCCGAGCCGCUUUCCUGGUGCCUCCGGGUGCUCUGGGAUGGUUCUGGUCUUUGGGAGAGUGGCAGCUGGUGACGGCGCUCCGCUCACCUCUGCACAUGUCUUGCUGUGGGCCUGCGGGUGGCCGCCAGGGAGGCAGAGCCCUCCCGCAAACCUUCCCUGCUGGUGUCCACCUCAGGGUGUGGGAAACCUGUGCGCUGGCCGAGUGCUAACCAAGAGUAGGCAGUGAAAGACAAAUGAAGGUUGAACAGAUGGAGUCUCGCUCUGUCGCCCAGGCUGGAGAGCAAUGGUGCGAUCUCGGCUCACUGCAACCUCCGCCUCCCGAGUUCAAGCAUUCUCCUGCCUCAGCCUCCCGAGCAGCUGGGUAGCAGUAUAUUUGUAAUGGUACAUAAAAUAAUGUCUGUUUUUAAAUAAACAUUUACAUUGUAAACCAAAAGUUAACUCUCCAUCAAUUUUUUUUUUUCUUUUUUGAGAUGGCAUCUUGCUCUGUCACCCAGGCUGGAGGAGUGCAGUGGCAUGAUCUCGGCUCACUGCAACCUUCGCCUCCCAGGCAAGCGAUCCUCUUGCCUCAGCCUCCUGAGCAGCUGGAAUUAUAGGUGUGUGCCAAUACAACCAGCUAAUUUUCGUAUCUUUGGUAGAGACAGAGUUUCACCAUGUUGGCCAGGCUUGUCUCGAAUUCCUGACCUCAGUUGAUCUGUCCGUCUCAGCUUCCCAAAGUGCUGGGAUUACAGGCAUGAGCCACCACAUCCGGCAUCCAUCAAUUUAGAAAGUUUAUUUCACCAAGAUUAAGGUUGCACCCGUGACACAGCCUCAGAAGGCCCUGAUGACCAUGUGCCCUUGGUGGUCAGGGUACAGCUUGCUUUUAUACAUGUUAGGGAGACAUGAGACAUCAAUCAGUAUGUGUAAGAUGUACUUUAGUCAGGUAAAGCGGGACUUGAGGUGAGGGCUUCCAGGUCAUGAGUAGAUAAGAGGCAAAAGAUCGCAUUUUUUUGAGUCCUUGAUCAGCCUUCCACUGAAUACACAAUUUAGUCUGGCUCAGUGAAUUAUCAUUUUUACGUAAACAAUAGGGGAGGGGAAGCAAUUAGAUAUGCAUUUGUCUCAGGCGCACCUUAAAGGGAUAACUUUGAGUUCUGUCUGUCCUUUAUCCACAAGGAAUUUCCUUGUGGGCAAAUUUUAAGGGAGGUACGUAGCCUCUUAUCUUGGCAGCUAUCUUAUUUAGGAAUAGAAUGGGAGGCAGGUUUGCCUGACAUAGUUUCCAGCUUGACUUUACCCUUUGGUUUAGUGAUUUUGUGGUCCUGAGUUUUAUUUUCCUUUCACAGAAAUUAUACCGUAAAAGUAAUUGAAGAAAAUCACUUCUUUCCCCUUCCCUCAACUAGGCCUUGACCAUUUUAAAUAAAAUCAGGAUUUGCUGAAGGUCAACAAAUUUAACCAAGUUCAGUUAAAACUUAACUCUGAAUCUGUAUGUCCCUGGGGUCUUUUCCAGUGAGAGAUGUCUAAGCAUCAUUCCAAGCUUUUCUAUACUAACUGGCCUAUUUGUAUGUUUCUUAUUUUAGGAUUCCUUUUGUUCAUGUGUAUUUUUAUUAGGCAAUCACCCAUUUCCUGUAGGUUUCCAGGUUAAUAUAUUUUUCUUAUUGGAAUUUUAAUUUAUCCUCUCUAGUUUUCUACAUAUUUUUUUUUUCUUUGAGACGAGGUCUCAUAUGUUGCCCCGGUUGGCCUCAAACUCCUGGGCUUAAGCAAUCCUCCCACCUUGGCCUCCCAAAGUGCUGGGAUUAUAGGUGUGAAUUACUGUACCCAGCCUAGAAUCCUUAGUCCUAUAUACUUUUGCUGUUUUUUUCAUUGCCAACUUGAAAUAAUAAAAAGGGUCAGAAUCCUAUAAACCAAAAAUAAAAUAAGGCCCCCCAACCCUCUGAAUGGACUUCCUCCUCUGACACAGAUCUUUUACAAUUUAACCUGUAUGAACCCCAAAAAUUGGAGACAGGUCUCAGUUAAUUUAGAAAAUUUAUCUUGCGAAGGUCAAGGACACACGAUUAUGACAGCCUCAGGAGGUCCUGACGACAUGUACCUAAGAUAGUCAGAGCACAGGGUGGUUUUAUACAUUUUAGGGAGAUAUAAGACAUCAAUCAACAUAUGUAAAAUGAAUAUUGGUCAGGAAAGGUGGGACAACUCAAAGAAAAAAUGGGACAACUCGAAGUGGGGAGGGGCUUCCAGGUCACAGGUAGGUGAGAGACAAAUGGUUGCACUCUUUUGAGUUUCUGAUUCACCUUUCUAAAAGAGGCAGUCAGACAUGCAUUUAUCUCAGUGAGCAGAGGGAUGACUGAAUGGAAUGGGAAGCAGGUUUGCCCUAAGCAGUUCCCAGCUUGACUUUUCCCAUUAGCUUAGUGAUUAUGGGAUUCCAAGGUAAUUUCCUUUCACAUUUCCCCCCUUUUCUUUUUUAAAA